CGCUAAAGCCCUGAAAUCUGUUGCUUUUGAACAACAUCGGAACCAAAGCAUUAAAGCGGGUGCUUUUCCUCAAUGCGCUUGCAACUAAAAAUUUAGAAACUAAUACAUCCAGGUCGUGGGUGACGUGAUCUUGUGCGGCCCAAUCCGGUCCAGGCUUUGCACGGAAAUGGGCCGAAUAGGUUCUCCCCGUAGCACCUCGCGGUCGGCGUGUAAGCGUGUCCCUAGCAACGUCGCUCCCAAACCAUUCCAAUCACUGCGACACGCUACAGUUCAUAGAAUCAUCGGAAAAGGGUUUUGGAUCUCGAAGAUGAUUUUUUUUUUUUUUUUCCUUCAAUUUGGUGUUUAAAUGCGGUCGAUGCUGCUGUGCUCAAGCUUCGCAACUUAGGGCCGGAAAUGCCGUGGUGAGAAAAAUUAUAUGCUGCUUUGAACGUGAGAUGAGAUCUUACAUGCGUAAUCGCGGAUUUAAAAUGUUUCCGAAUGGUUCAUUGGAUAUGUGAUGAUGUGCUUUGAUAUCUCUCUUGCUUUACAUGUUAUGAUCCUGUGAACAUAAUGGCUAUGUUAAUUUGGAAGUGUUUCCUAACAUUUUCAAUUUCUCAUUAAUAAAUGUUUUUAUAACUUAUAAUGUUGCAUUAAAUUGAGAUGGGAAGUGAGGAAGUAAUGGUAACUAUUCUUGAUUCUGACCAUUGCAUCUGAGAUAAGUUUCAGUAACUCAAUAUGAUAUUAACUUGAAAAUGGUGUCAAGCCAAACAAUUAAGGAAAUUCUGAAAGAUAUAUAUAAAUCGCCUUGAGAUAGCAAUCACAUGUGGUAUUUUGGUAUAAUAUUCGGCUUUGUUCGGCAAAAUAUUUGGCCUUAGAAACUUACAUGUAGCUGAUGCAAACAAAUGGGCCAUAAGCUCUGGUAUUGUGGUCCUUCUGUAGACAUAUUUUUCUGAUUGAAUUAUCUUGUCAGAGAGUUUUAUAUUGUCAGAAAUAGUAAAUGGAGUUUUCCUCUCAUUUCAUUUCCUUCACUGAAAUACAAAUCAACGCUCGACGCCUUCUAGGGUCUGUCUCUAGUUUUAGAUUGUUUUUUUGUUAUGGACCACUCUACUCUAUUGAUAGUUAUACUUGGCUUUGAGUGCUUUACAUUUGCAGUAUUCCCGGCCACUACUAGACACUCUGCAAAGAGCUCGAUGGUGUGAAGCAUGUCCGGAAAAACAGGACAACUGCAAAAAAACUGAACUGGAACAACUAAGGUGCAGCUCUAACUAUAUUUGUUUCUACAUUAUUGAUUAGUGUAGUUAUUUGAGGGCUUUGAUUUAAAUCACAGUAACUGAAUUUUCUUGCACAUGAAGUUCAAGCUUCAAUUUUCUUUUCUUUUUCAUGAUGAAAUACGAAAUGAAUAUAGCUUUGGAUACUCCUCUUGUUUUUGUGAUACCAAGAGGCCGUUUGGUUAGAUGUAAUUAUAAAUACAGUAUAGUUGAAGAUAUAUGUAGUUGAAAAUGCACAACUACAUGUAUCAUGUUUAGUUGGAUGCAGUAGAAAGCGUUGUAACUAUAAAUAAUUUGUUUGGUUGUAUACAGUUGAGAAAUGAUAUUUAAAAUUUUAUUAUUUAAUGUUGAGAUUAA